AUUCCAUCUGAUCUGUAAACCUGUGCACUUCCCUCUGUAGCUGUAGUAGCAGUGUGCUGGUUUGCUUGUCUGUUUUUCACUUUCCUUCUGCCAGGUUUAGCAUAGAAUCUAUUGGGCAGCAUUUAAAGGCAAAUGAUGUAUCUCUCAGCUCUACCUGAAUUAUACAUUACCUUUGAACAGAAAUGAAAGGUUUUCGCUCCAAGUGUUGCAAGAAGAUGUCAUGGAAAGAAUAUGGUUCCUAAGCAGCCCUGUUAUCAAUAAGCAGCUAAGGAAGUACAUUAGGAACUUAGAGAUAUUAAAUGCAUCAGGAAGAAGAAAAAAAUUUAAUUACUGUGGUCUUUUCAACCAGAAUUUUAAUUCAUGGUUUUGCCAUUACCAGCAGGCUAUCGAUACCCAAGGGAGCUGUGCUUUCCAGGAGGCUCCUGGGGUUAGUGCCUACCCCACCCAAAGCCAGGACUUUGCUUCAACUCUCAUCCAACACAUUUGGGAUAAAAAAA